GACGAACGCUGGCGGCGUGCUUAACACAUGCAAGUCGAACGGAAAGGCCCUGCUUUCGUGGGGUGCUCGAGUGGCGAACGGGUGAGUAACACGUGAGUAACCUGCCUUUGACUUUGGGAUAACUUCAGGAAACUGGGGCUAAUACCGGAUAGGAGCUCCUGCUGCAUGGUGGGGGUUGGAAAGUUUCGGCGGUUGGGGAUGGACUCGCGGCUUAUCAGCUUGUGGGUGGGGUAGUGGCUUACCAAGGCUUUGACGGGUAGCCGGCCUGAGAGGGUGACCGGCCACAUUGGGACUGAGAUACGGCCCAGACUCCUACGGGAGGCAGCAGUGGGGAAUAUUGCACAAUGGGCGGAAGCCUGAUGCAGCAACGCCGCGUGCGGGAUGACGGCCUUCGGGUUGUAAACCGCUUUCGCCUGUGACGAAGCGUGAGUGACGGUAAUGGGUAAAGAAGCACCGGCUAACUACGUG
rnacentral:rRNA from 1 species